UACGUAGGGGGCAAGCGUUGUCCGGAUUUAUUGGGCGUAAAGAGCGUGUAGGCGGUUUGGUAGGUCCGUUGUGAAAACUCGAGGCUCAACCUCGAGACGCCGAUGGAAACCAUCAGACUAGAGUCCGGAAGAGGAGAGUGGAAUUCCUGGUGUAGCGGUGAAAUGCGCAGAUAUCAGGAAGAACACCCGUGGCUAAGGCGGCUCUCUAGUA
rnacentral:rRNA from 1 species